UGUAUUUUGACCACACUUAAUACUUUGUUUCACACACGAAUACAAAUUAAAACAACAACAGCAAAUUAACAAAACCGUGAAAACGAUGUCCGGUGGUUCCGAUGUGGCCGAUACCACUUCCCUAUCCUGCGCUCGCUGUGGCAAACCUGCUCGCCUUCAGUGUCCCAAAUGCGUGGAAUUAAAGCUCCCUCGUGAAGGCGCUGCUUUCUGCACUCAAGAUUGUUUCAAGGCUUCUUGGAGCUCUCAUAAAGCAGUGCAUUUGAAGGCAAAGCUAUCCUCACUUGGGACAGGUACUCCGCAUGAACAAAAUUCAGACUUACAUAAUGAAGGUUGGCUAUAUUGCUUGAAGAAAGGACAGGCUCGAACUCCAAAACUUCCCCAUUUUGAUUGGACAGGGGAAUUAAGGCCAUAUGCUAUAUCUAGAAGACGUGCUGUACCUGCUCAUAUUGAGCUUCCUGACUGGGCAGCUGAUGGUAUCCCAAAAACUGAGCCCAAUAGUGAUCUGCAGCAUGUUGUUGAGAUCAAAACACCGGAUCAAAUUGAGAGAAUGAGAGAGACUUGUCGAAUUGGAAGGGAAGUUUUGGAUGCGGCUGCUCGUGUGAUACAGCCUGGUGUGACAACUGAUGAGAUUGACAGAGUGGUUCAUGAUGCAACUAUUGCGGCUGGAGGAUAUCCUUCUCCUCUCAAUUAUCAUUUCUUCCCAAAGUCUUGCUGCACGUCAGUUAAUGAAGUAAUUUGCCAUGGAAUUCCAGAUGCGAGGAAAUUAGAGGAUGGUGAUAUUGUAAAUGUUGAUAUAUCUGUGUACUAUAAAGGUGUCCAUGGUGAUCUCAAUGAAACGUAUUUUGUGGGUAAUGUUGAUGAAGAGUCUCGACGGCUGGUUCAAUGUACUUAUGAAAGCUUGGAGAAAGCAAUAGCUAUUGUGAAACCUGGGGUGCGAUUCCGUGAAAUUGGGGAAGUUAUUAAUCGUCAUACUACAAUGUCGGGGUUCUCAGUGGUAAAAUCAUAUUGGGGUCAUGGUAUUGGAGAGCUUUAUCAUUGUGCACCAAAUAUUCCCCAUUAUGGAAGUAUCCUAAAUUAUUUUUUGCUGAAGGAAGAAAUAAAGCAGUUGGUGUAAUGAAGGCUGGGCAGACCUUUACAAUUGAACCAAUGAUCAAUGCUGGGGUUUGGCGUGAUCGGAUGUGGCCUGAUGGAUGGACUGCUGUCACUGCUGAUGGCAAACGCAGUGCUCAGUUUGAGCACACUCUUCUGGUGACACAGACUGGAGUUGAGGUUCUUACAGGGCGGCUGCCUUCCUCCCCAAAUGUGUUUCCUUGGCUAAAUGCAUAAUAGUUGGCAACUAUUGGCAAUUGUCUGUAUGGUGAACCUGCAUCCACCAAUAUCAUGCCAUCAGUGAACAAUCACUGAUUAUUGAUGGAGGGUUUUCUAGAUUCCUACCAUUUCCUUUUCUGUUGGAUGCGAAUGUGUUAUUGGAAGUGUGCUUUGGUGUUUCACACCUUUUAAACAAUCUUGUAAUUUUUUUUUUUUUUUUUUUUUGAUAUUUUUUGUAGUUGCUAACUGGUGUUUGUCUUGGACCCCAGUAAGUUAUUCUAAUAAACAUUUUUAAUUUUUGGAUAAAUUGGGAAAAAAAUUGUUUAGAUUUUAUGUUAUUGCUUAUGUUUUUACU